GAUGAACGCUGGCGGCGUGCCUAAUACUUGCAAGUCGAGCGAACAGACGAGGAGCUUGCUCCUCUGACGUUAGCGGCGGACGGGUGAGUAACACGUGGAUAACCUACCUAUAAGACUGGGAUAACUUCGGGAAACCGGAGCUAAUACCGGAUAAUAUAUUGAACCGCAUGGUUCAAUAGUGAAAGACGGUUUUGCUGUCACUUAUAGAUGGAACCGCGCCGCAUUAGCUAGUUGGUAAGGUAACGGCUUACCAAGGCAACGAUGCGUAGCCGACCUGAGAGGGUGAUCGGCCACACUGGAACUGAGACACGGUCCAGACUCCUACGGGAGGCAGCAGUAGGGAAUCUUCCGCAAUGGGCGAAAGCCUGACGGAGCAACGCCGCGUGAGUGAUGAAGGUCUUCGGAUCGUAAAACUCUGUUAUUAGGGAAGAACAAAUGUGUAAGUAACUAUGCACGUCUUGACGGUACCUAAUCAGAAAGCCACGGCUAACUACGUG
rnacentral:rRNA from 1 species